AGGUUCCGUCAGCCGGGUGGCGCAGUAUUCUAGUCGACCGUCCGUUCCUGAAGGCGGGGCUAAAAAUCCGCCAAAGGGCACAUCGAUGAAGUUCCUGGUGUUGGCUUGGGGCGCCCAGCCCUGGGCUGGUACUGGGAGUUAAGAAAGUUGGGCAACCCGCAAUGGCAUGCGGGACCUGACCCAGCUUUCGCGGAGGCCCAAGUUCGUGGUCCGCAUCAAAGGGGACUAUGGCUUGGGGGAUGAACCUGCAUGCGGAGGCCAUCUGUGUGCAGCGUAGCCUGCCUUGAGUGGUGCCGAAGGAUCGCGGGUAGCAGGUGCCAGGUUCCCCGGCCAGGGAGCCGCACCGGUGCCGCGUGAAAUCUGUACUGCAAAAGAGGCUAGGGAACGGUCGCGGUUGUCGCGGAAAACGCCUAGACUGUCUGCGACGGCAGGGCUCUUUGAGGAUUAUAGUGUGGACUGAGUGGUAAUCUAGUCUGACAGUUGGCGACACUGUCAAGGGUCGCAUAAAGGGAAACCGCCCGCUUGGCGACGAGCGGGUGCGACCUUGGGAAAACCUACUGGACCUAAGCCACAGCGUUUACUCAAAGAGCUGCCACCCUCCAUUGCUCUUCA
rnacentral:sRNA from 1 species